AAGGUGGCUGGCCGGCAGGCCAAUGGCGGCCAACGCCACUUCCGGCCGCCCUCCGAGCAUCGCUCUUCGGCAACCCGAAGCCACAGGAUGGAGGAGGGGGAUCCCAGCAAAGGUAGCGACUAAGGGGACCCAAGCAGAACGGGAGGGCGACGUCCGGAGCGGCGGCAGAGCCAGGGGACGCUGUGUGAGGCUGGCAAAGCGGUGUUCACCUAGUUCUCUCGGGCUCCGCCGCCGCCGGAGGAGGACAGGAGGCCGGCAAGGCGACCCCCAAAUCUUCCUAGGCUCUGACUUCCGUCUCCUAACCCCCGCAAAUUCCAACCCGGUCUUGGAAAAUCCCGCGAGAACGGGCUCCCGAAUUGUCAUUGGGAUCUCGCGAGAACGAAAUCUUCCUUUCUGUGGGCGGAGCAAUCUUCCCGAUGUCUCUUCCCUCUGAGGCCAGUAGCAGGAAGGGCCUCGGGAGUUGCGAGUGUCGCGAGGUUUGAGGUCGCUCGGUGGGCCGGGCGCUGUGCGAAGCUAGAAAUAACUGGGGGCAUGGAGAAUGCGGUGGCUGUAAAGGGCCGCUGAGGCGGUGGAGGCCUGGCAGAGAGCGUCCCCGCGGUCGCGGCUUCUGGCUUCUCUGUGGAGCUUGGUUCUUCCGUGGUGGUGCAGCACCCCAGGAACUUCAGGAACCAGUCCUUCCUUGGAGAGCUCCCCGGGACAGCCACGGGGGCCAAGUGAAACUAGCGCGUUUUCUUGGAUCCUACACUUUAUAGUGAGUCAUAAAUACUUUAAAUACAAAGCCAACAACAUUUGCUGCAAAUAAACGUAAAAAUACUGUUAAAGUGUAAAGUGUUUUCCUCCGUACCAUCUGACGUUUCUGGCGGUUCGUUGAACGCGAGAGAACGCUGAGCCGUCUGCACUGAGCCCGGGAGCAUCUUCAGGGCAGCGCCGCCCACGCGCGAGGUGAAUGAAGGACACGGCCUCUUGACACUCCCAGGCAGCACAGAUAGACGGAUCCUCUACCGCUGAUUGCAGCUGGAAAAGAUUCUGAGGGCUCACCUGAGUAAUCCAGGAUCAUCUUCCCAUUUCCAGGUCUCUGCCCUUGAUCACAUCAGCAGAAUCCUUUUGCCAUUGGCUAGAAGUGACCCCAGGAUUUUUUUAUUAUCAAGAGAGACUAGAAGAAUCAUGAGACUUUUCCUAGUUGCCUUUCAAGAAUAUGAAGAAAAAAAUGGUUCUCAAAGUGGGUUUGAAUGAGUAUUGUUCCAAUAAAUGAACUUAUAUUCAUAUUUC
rnacentral:lncRNA from 1 species